CAACUAUAUGGCUUAUAACAAUCGCUUUCAAAAGAUGAUCAGAUGAUCAAACUGAUUAUCAGUUUCCCAUUUGUAAUACAAAAUGACUGAAAAAUGGCAAACUUCGCAAGGCUAUAUUAUCCGCAUUUUACAACAUUUUGCAACGAAACUUCGGAAUAUUACUAAUUUUGUGAUGCUCUUUCAAGUUGUGAUGAAAUUUUUGUCCAGGCUUGUCUAGAUCAAAAUUUCACUUAAAAGGGG